GGACCCUUGGCGCAACGGUAGCGCGUCAGAUUCCAGUUUCUUGGAGUGUCCUGAAGGUUAGGCGUUCAAAUCGCCUAGGGUUCA